rnacentral:rRNA from 1 species
GGGGGAUAAGCGGAAGAAAUUCCGUCUAAUACCGCGUAACAACCCAUGGAGGCAUCUCUGUGGGUUUAAAGGAAGCGAUUCCGGCUACGGAUGGUCAUGCGUCGCAUUAGCUUGUUGGCGGGGUAACGGCCCACCAAGGCGACGAUGCGUAGGGGUUCUGAGAGGAAGGUCCCCCACACUGGUACUGAGACACGGACCAGACUCCUACGGGAGGCAGCAG